rnacentral:rRNA from 1 species
UACAGAGGGUGCAAGCGUUGUUCGGAAUUAUUGGGCGUAAAGCGCUUGUAGGCGGUCUGUUAAGUCGCGUGUGAAUCCCAGGCUUAACCUGGGAAGUGCGCGCGAAACUGGCAGACUUGAAUGCCGGAGAGGGUCGCGGAAUUCCCGGUGUGAGAGGUGAAAUUCGUAGAUAUUGGGAAGAACACCGGUGGCGAAGGCGGCGACCUGGUCCGAUACUGACGCUGAGCGCGAA